CGUUGCUGACCAAUUUCUGAAAACCUUAACGUUCCACUUCUCUCCGUACUAUGUCCUUUUUUGGGUGACCAAGACCUGGGAGAUUCAUCCACACCUAAUCCGUCUAUGCUUCAAAACCAAGAAGAUAGAGGGAGGACGCCAAUGCAUUCAAAUUCAAUGUUUAGACCUGUUCGAUUAAACAUUGGCACUCGUUUUUGAAAUAUUACCAUAGGUCACACAUUGUUUUAAAACCUUCCAAGAAGUCGAAAGAAGAAAGAGAGGAGUUUACUAUGAGGGCCUGAGCAAGUGAAUUUGCUCCCUCAUUACCGAUGGAAUUGUGAGACAAAACCAAAGAAGAAAGAGAGGUGUUUACUCUGAGGGCCUGAGCAAGUGAAUUUGCCCCCUCAUCACCAAUGGAAUUGUGACUCAAAUCCAAAGA